rnacentral:rRNA from 1 species
AUGCAUGUAUAAGUAUAACCUGCCAGACAGGGAAACUGCGGACGGCUCAUUACAACAGCCUUAAUUUACUUGACCUUGACAACCUACUUGGAUAACUGCGGUAAUUCUGGAGCUAAUACAUGCACCAAAGCUCCGAUCCCUCGUGGAGAGGAGCGCAUUUGUUCGCCACAAAACCAAACGCCCCACAAGGGCGUUCAGUGUUGACUCAGAAUAACUAAGCUGAUCGCACGGUCUUGCACCGGCGACGUGUCUUUCAAGUGUCUGCCUUAUCAACUUUCGAUGGUAGUGUAUCUGCCUACCAUGGUUGUGACGGGUAACGGAGGAUAAGGGUUCGACUCCGGAGAAGGGGCCUGAGAAAUGGCCACUACGUCUAAGGAUGGCAGCAGGCGCGCAAAUUACCCACUCUCAACACGCUGAGGAGGUAGUGAAGAGAAAUAACGAGACCGUUCUCACAUGAGGCCGGUCAUCGGAAUGGGUACAACUUAAACCCUUUAACGAGUAUCUAUGAGAGGGCAAGUCUGGUGCCAGCAGCCGCGGUAAUUCCAGCUCUCAAAAUGCAUAGAAUUAUUGCUGCGGUUAAAAAGCUCGUAGUUGGAUCUGUGCUGGCCGCCCGGUCUGCUCGCUGAGCACGCACUGGUGCGGUCGGCUUUCCUGCCCGGUACCUCCCCGGCGUUGGCCUUCACCGGUCGGCGUCGGUGGCCGGGCGAGUUUACUUUGAACAAAUCAGAGUGCUUCAAACAGGCGUUUCGCUUGAAUGUUCGUGCAUGGAAUAAUAGAAGAGGAUUUCGGUCCGAUUUUGUUGGUUUUGCUGACCGAGAUAAUGGUUAACAGAGACAAACGGGGCCAUUCGUAUUGCUACGUGAGAGGUG